GUUGCAUCUAGAGGCAUAGUAGAUGCAGCUACUGCAUCAUGUGUGUGUCAGUAGGUGGCUGAGAGGAGAGAGGCUUCACCUGUAUGCUCAGUGUUCUGACCUAUGAACAUCUGAGUAAUUAGUAGACUAACAUU